rnacentral:lncRNA from 1 species
GAAGCUCCAUUUAACCAUAAGAGAUGAAGCCUGGCUCUCUAUAGGUUGUCAGGAAGAGAGCUGGCCAUCUGCAAACCUUGAGUAUAAUUCUCAAGCUCAACACACAAUCAGGGAAUCUCUUUGGAUUUCAGGCUGAUCUUCCCCAUCCCUAUUAUGGUUCAAAAUCCACAUGGAAUGUUAUAUAUGUUGUAUGUAUAUAUGUUAUAUACCAUGGCUGCAAGUCUGGAAGGAACACUUUCCAGGGCAGAUCAUCCCAUCAUUGAGUUUAUCCAGUUCUUUCUUCUCCCAUUAUCCCACCUUCCUUCCACCUGUCCCACUGGUACUGGGACAGAAUAAAAUAUUCACCAAUCUUUGAUUUCAAAAAACAUGAGUAAGUUCUGCAGUCUUCUGAAUUCUGCUCCUGGCUCUGAAUUCUCAUUGAAAUGUCAUUGUUUGGGAAGAAUGUGUACCUGGGACCUGCUUUCCAGAAUCUUCCUUUCAGAUCCGUUUCUUAGCAUUCAGACUUGCCUUUGGAGAUGCCUAAGUAAAUCUAGAUGCUGAAUGACUUGGAAGAUGUCUAAUACAGGAAUGGGGUACUAUUGGGAACUGUGUGUCACUAUAUCACAUGUACUGAUCAGCCAGCCUGCUAUCUGCAGAUAUCAUUGCCAGCAAGUCUCACUGGGCUCAUUGGAAUCAGUUACUAGGGUCCUAUGUGGCUCACUUUAAGAGUCCUUUUUGCUGCUGGGAUCGUAUAUGUAACCCUGCAUUCUCCAACUGCUCCUUAGUUGGAUU